UUUGGAGACAAAUCCUUCCAGGAUUUGGAGACAAAUCCUUCUAGGAUUUGGAGACAAAUCCUUCCAGGAUUUGGAGACAAAUCCUUCCAGGAUUUGAAGACGAAUCCUUCCAGGAUUUGAAGACGAAUCCUUCCAGGAUUUGAAGACAAAUCCUCUGAGGAUUUAAAGACAAAUUCCGUCAAGAUUUGUAGAAAAUUUUCGUCAGGAUUUGUAGACAAAUUCCGUCAGGUUUUGUAGACAAAUUCCGUCAGGAUUUGUGGACAAAUUCCGUCAGGAUUUGUAGACAAAUGCCGUCAGGAUUUGUAGACAAAUGUCGUCAGGAUUUGUAGACAAAUUCCGUCAGGAUUUGUAGACAAAUUCCGUCAGGAUUUGUAGACAAAUUCCGUCAGGAUUUGUAGAAAAAUUCCGUCAAGAUUUGGAGACGAAUUCCGUCAGGAUUUGUAGACAAAUUCCGUCAGGAUUUGUAGACAAAUUCCGUCAGGAUUUGUAGAGAAUUCCCGUCAUAAUUUGUAGACAAAUCCCGCCUGGAUUUGUAGAUAAAUCUGUCGAUUCGAGACUUCCUUGAAUAUAGAGUAUCUUCGUACCUGUCAUGAACUUGCGAAAUCGUCAUUUGCAGAGCAAGCACUCGGUUAAUCUGAGAAGCAGGCUUUGUUCCGGUAAGGUCGUUUUGCCAAGAUGAGGAGAUAAUGAGAGACGAUGUUGUAUAUUGUAUGAUCCAUUCUUCAUCGACUAUUCAAAUGAAGUCAUUUAAAGUCUCCUCACUGGAGCCACCUUCUGGAUAAAAUAAGAGUCAAUCGUGUCACACCAUUAAUCGGCUUACGUAUCAAAGAAGCGCAAGUACCUUUUGGAUAUUACAAACAGCUGGUGCUGCUUCACUAUCUCCGCCGUCAUUAAUAUAUCACUUAUGUCGCACACACGUACUUCCACCGACUUGUGCGCUUUUUCCCAAGCAAACUCUUAUCUAUUUAGAGAAAUUCACAACCUAAAUUGGCGCGAGGACUAGGUAUGACUACGGACUACGAACUACGAGGACAUGACGGUGUCCGUGUACCAUUCUACGACAGUAGUAGGACCAUAUUCGCGCGGACAAGAUAAAAGGAAAUUUACCACCCGGACCCGGCCGGCUCUAUGCGACAUCCACGCCUGCUGGUAGGUAUGCACUGGGCCGAGCACAAUGCACCACCGCGCGCCCGCUUGGAUCGAACUACCUUACGGCGCGCAGUGUCGCCGGUUUAGUGUAGCCGGCAGCUGGUAGGUAGGUAUGCAGUCCCGGAAAUGCAUGUCGUUUGGCGGCGGCGGCGCCAGCUAGAACAUGACACUAUCGAAGCGGAACGCGUGCUCCAGCUUUAUCCAGGCUAGGCAGGCAUGAGUGAUCCGCCGGGUCGAGGGGCUGUGGUUGGGGGCUUUGUUCGUUGUCGCUGAAGGAUGAUGCGCACAGAAAGGUUGACGUUGGAGACACAGGUUUUUUUUUCUGUACGCUUCGAAGCUCAGAGGGAGUGGGUUUUUAUUAAGUUUUGUCGAGCGAUGCAAAAUGCGAGACGGCGCUCGCCGGUGGAUUUAAAUGUUUGAAUUUCGAAAGGGAUGGUAGCGAGGGAGAGCUCGUUUGCUCGUUCGGGUAGAUCGGGACUCCUUAAGUCCUGAGAGGAACAAACAACUAUCAUGAGAAUAUGUGACACUAGGCCGUGUCGAUUUUUGCAAAAUUGCGAAUACACAAUCCCGAAUAGUCACAAAUGGUUGCAAAUGGACCCAAAUGAAGCCCUGCAAAAUGUAAAAAUUCUAAAAAAUCGGUAAGCUAGUCCGCAAUCGACUUGAAGUUUUAUAUGGGAAUUUUAAUUUUUCAGUAUGGGGAAAUCCAACUUUUCAAACUUUUGAAGAAAAAGGCACAUUAAAGCAACUCUAAAAAUCCGCUCCCCCCCUGAAGAUUUAGUGCAUAUAUUAGGGAACAUUUUGUUAGAAGACAACUUUUUAGUUGCACUUAAGAUAAGGGCGUUAUUAAAUUUCGAAACAAUGGACAUUUUAUUCGCAUGAUUUCUAACUUCUUUAAUUGGCAUCACUGCACGUUUUGCGUGUUGAAGAGGGUGGUAACAGCCAUCUGCGGCGUCACCACCCGUCGCUGGAUGGAGACGCAAGUACCUGAUAAAAAUGAGAUAGUUAGGAUUGUAAAUAUUCUUUCGAUAUUGCUUUAUAAAAACUUGGUAUCUUUGGCAAAAUUGUUGGCAUGGUCAAGAACUGUCCAGUGAUGAACUAAAUCAUUGGCAAAUCCAUCGCUGGGCGGCGCUAGUGUGCAUACAAACUGCAUGCAAAAGUAUUAACGUAUAUGCGUGUAUCUCAAUAACGUGAUAAUUUAACUGUGUGGUGUCUUCGACAAAGUUGUUGGCCUGGCCACGGGCUAUCCAGUGACGAACCAAGUAAGUAGGAAUUCAACCGAUAGGCGGCGCUAGUGUGCAUACAAACUGGAUGCAAAAAUACAAACGUAUAUGUGUGUAUCUCAAUAACGUGAUAAUUUAAGUAGGUGGUGUCUUCGACAAAUUUGUUGGCUGGAGCACGGGCUAUCCAGUGAUGAACGCAAUACAGUCUAGACUCCUAUUACACGGUUAGUUCGGGGGUGUAGUAGGAAUCCGUGUUGUAGGAAUCCCAGAGCUUAUGGGAUUUCGCCUAUAUGGGGGUGUGAGCGAAUAUAUCAGGAGUAUUACAAGAUAGCACCAUACUUUCUUUGGCAAAGUUGUAGUACUAGAAUAGAUCUACCACACAAUGUGAACUAACAUCCAAUUAGUUGGCAAUUUGGCCGAUAGAGGCGCUAUGUAGAAGUGGUUGCUUAUGUUCACUCGCCAGUAUAAGCACUCACAAGUUGUCGCUUGCGAUAUCUCAAGAUCUACUUGAUUUAGAACAAUGCUGUCUUCGGCAAAGUUGUUCAGUAGGUCAAGAACAAUCUGGUGGUUAACCAAUUAGUUCGUGAUUUCGCCGCUAGGUGGUGCUAGUUGUCAAGUAAAGUUUCAAACUUCUCUAGCUCGCGAUCCAGAUUAGAUAGAAAAGUGCCGUCUUCGUAAGAGUUUUUCAGGAAGUAAAAACCUAUCUGGUGAUUCAACAUUUAGUUGGUGAUUUCGCCGCUAGGUGCCACUAGUUGUUAAGUAAAAUUUCAAACUUCUUUAGCUCGCGAUCCAGAGCAGAUAGAAAAGUAUCGUCUUCGGCUAAGUUCUUCAGGAAGUCACGAACAAUCUUUUGAUGUAACAAUUAGUUGGUGAUUUCACCGCUAGGUGGCACUAGUUGUCAUGUAAAGUUUUAAACUCUGCUAUCUCGGGAUCCAAAGCAGAUCGAAAAGUUUUAUCUUCGGCAAAGUGCUUUUGGAAGUCAUGAGCUAUCUGGUGAUUCAACAGUUAGUUGGUGAUUUCGCCGCUAGGUGGCGCUCUUUGACAAGUAAAAUUUCAAUCUGCUCUAGCAGAGCAGAUAGGAGAGGGUCGUUUACGGCAAAAUUCUUCAGGAAGUCAAGAACAAUCAUGUGAUUCAACAAUUAGUUGGUGAUUUCGCCACUAGGUGGCACUAGUUGUCAAGUAAAGUUUCAAACUCCGCUAUCUCGGGAUCCAAAGCAGAUCGAAAAGUAUCGUCUUCGGCAAAGUUCUUCAGGAAGUCAAGAGCUAUCUAAUGACUAAACAUUAAGUUUGUAAUUUCGCCGCUAGGUGACGCUAGUUGUCAAGUAAAGUAUUAAACUUCUCUAGCUCGCGAUCCAGAUCAGAUAGAAAAGUGCCGUCUUCGUAAGAGUUUUUCAGGAAGUAAAACCUAUCUGGUGAUUCAACAUUUAGUUGGUGAUUUCGUUGCUAGGUGCCACUAGUUGUUAAGUAAAAUUUCAAACUUCUUUUGCUCGCGAUCCAGAGCAAAUAGAAAAGCAUCGUCUUCGGCUAAGUUCUUCAGGAAGUCAAGGGUUAUCUAAUGACUUAACAUUUAGUUUGUAAUUUCGCCGCUAGGUGGCGCUAGUUGUCAAGUAAAGUUUCAAACUUCUCUAGCUCUCGAUCCAGAUCAGAUAGAAAAGUGCCGUCUUCGUCAGAGUUUUUCGGGAAGUAAAAACCUAUCUGGUGAUUCACUAUUUAGUUGGUGAUUUCGUUGCUAGGGUGCGCUAGUUGUUAAGUAGAUUAUUAAUCUUCUUUAGCUCGCGAUCCAGAGCAGAUAGAAGAGAGUCGUCUUCGGCAAAGUUCUUCAGGAAGUCAAGAGCUAUCUAAUGACUUAACAUUUAGUUUGUAAUUUCGCCGCUAGGUGGUGUUAGUUGCCAAGUAGAAUUUCAAACUUCUCUAGCUCGCGAUCCAGAGCAAAUAGAAAAGUGUCGUCUUCGGCUAAGUUCUUUUCCAUGAGCACACAGCCACCUGUUCGAAGAACCGCUCGAGAUACUGUCGAUUGCAUGAUUCAGCAACGUGUACACUAGCAAACGUUAAAACGAUCGAACACUAACGCCUCUGGUGGAAGGAUAGUGGAAAUUAAAUGAAAUUUGAAUUGAUCCUUAAAUGCACGUGCCAAGCCAUGUUUAAGAGUGUUACGUAUGUUUGUCUGUGAACGGAGUCUAUGUUGUCGCACAGUAACAUACAAAUAUGAAUUUCAAUAUAUGUACAAAAAAGUUUGCAUCUGGGAUCAAACAUCGGACCUCUGAAUUGUCAGUCCUUUCCAAGUAAGGCGCUGUCCAUAAACUACGUUGACUUUUUUUCGGCCAUCUCAGACCCCCCCCCCUCGUAGACUUUUGUUCAUACAAAAUUCUCAUAAUUUGUAUGGAGCGUAGACUUUGGCCAGAAACCCCCGUUCCCCCCCUUAGAGUCUACGUAGUUCAUGGACAGGCCCUAACGCACUUGUCACAUAAAAGUUACAGCAGCAGGUUUAUGUUCCGCUCUUAUGUGACAAGCGUGUUACUUGGGAUUACUAUUAAGCAGCAGAACUAUUGCGGUGCAACAAUAGCAUACGCGCUGAAACACUAAUAAAUGCUACUUCCUGGUGGCCUUUGCUUGGCCGAUCGCCACUCGUUUACAAAGGAACAGAAAGGAUGACAAAAACGUUGGUGGUCGACUAUUUAUCAUUGAGGUUCAUCCUCGGGUUCAUUGUGGAACUCUUUACCGGCAAUGAAAAAGCUAGUCGCCAAUGUUGUUCUAUCGGGAUAAUGUGAUUUUUUUCUUUACGCGGCGGUGAAGAGAACGACGAUUGUCAACCCUGGUCUGGAUCCAAGAUAGAGAUGUUCAAAAUACUAUUUGCCAAUUACCGCCACGUAGCGGCGAACUACCUACUAAUUGUUGAAUCACCAGGUUGUUCUAUAGUCUAUACUUUCUGAAGAAAAUUGCCAAAGAUAACACUUUUCUAUCUGCUAUGGAUUCCGAGCAGCCUUGAUCACCUAGCAGCUAAAUCAUCAAUUUAUUGUUUUAUCACCAGAAUGCUCUUGGCUGCCUGUUGAACUUUGCCGAAGACAGUACUAUUCUAUAUGCUAUAGAUCCUGAGAUAGUGUUUUGAAACUUUACAUGACAAUUAGCGCCACCCAACGGCAAAUUCACAAACUAUAUUUUUAAUCAGAAGAUGACUCUUGACUUUCUGAAGAACUUAGCCGAAGACGAUGCUUUUCUAUUUGCUCUGGAUCGCGAGCUAAAGAAGUUUGAAAUUUUACUUAACAACUAGUGGCACCUAGCAACGAAAUCACCAACUAAAUGUUGAAUCACCAUAUAGGUUUUUACUUCCUGAAAAACUCUUACGAAGACGGCACUUUUCUAUCUGAUCUGGAUCGCGAGCUAUAGAAUUUUAAUACUUUACUUGACAACUAGCGUCACCUAGCGGCGAAAUUACAAACUUAAUGUUAAGUCAUUAGAUAGCUCUUGACUUCCUGAAGAACUUUGCCGAAAACGAUACUUUUCGAUCUGCUUUGGAUCCCGAGAUAGCGGUGAAAUCACAAACUUAUAGUUGAAUCACUAGAUAGCCCUUGACUUCUAGAAGAACUUUGUCGAAGACGACCCUCUUCUAUCUGCUCUGGAUCGCGAGCUAGAGAAGUUUGAAAUUUUACUUGACAAAGAGCGCCACCUAGCGGCGAAAUCACAAACUUAAUGUUGAAUCACAAAAUUGUUCUUGACUUCCUGGAGAACUUUGCCGAAGACGACCCUCUUCUAUCUGCUAUGGAUCCCGAAAUAAAGAAGUUUGAAACUCUACUUGACAACUAGCACCACCUAGCGGCGAAAUGACUUCUUGUAGAACUUUGCCGAAGACGACUCUCUUCUAUCUGCUCUGGAUCGCGAGCUAAAGAAGUUUAAUAUUCUACUUAACAACUAGCGCACCCUAGCAACGAAAUCACCAACUAAAUAUUGAAUCACCAGAUAGGUUUUUACUUCCCGAAAAACUCUGACGAAGACGGCACUUUUCUAUCUGAUCUGGAUCGAGAGCUAGAGAAGUUUGAAACUUUACUUGACAACUAGCGCCACCUAGCGGCGAAAUUACAAACUAAAUGUUAAGUCAUUAGAUAACUCUUGACUUCCUGAAGAACUUAGCCGAAGACGAUGCUUUUCUAUUUGCUCUGGAUCGCGAGCUAAAGAAGUUUGAAAUUUUACUUAACAACUAGUGGCACCUAGCAACGAAAUCACCAACUAAAUAUUGAAUCACCAGAUAGGUUUUUACUUCCUGAAAAACUCUUACGAAGACGGCACUUUUCUAUCUAAUCUGGAUCGCGAGCUAGAGAAGUUUGAAACUUUACUUGACAACUAGCACCACCUAGCGGCGAAAUCACAAACUAAUUGGUUAACCACCAGAUUGUUCUUGACCUACUGAACAACUUUGCUGAAGACAGCAUUGUUCCAAAUCAAGUAGAUCUUGAGAUAUCGCAAGCGACAACUUGUGAGUGCUUAUACUGGCGAGUGAACAUAAGCAACCACUUCUACAUAGCGCCUCUAUCGGCCAAAUUGCCAACUAAUUGGAUGUUAGUUCACAUUGUGUGGUAGAUCUAUUCUAGUACUACAACUUUGCCAAAGAAAGUAUGGUGCUAUCUUGUAAUACUCCUGAUAUAUUCGCUCACACCCCCAUAUAGGCGAAAUCCCAUAAGCUCUGGGAUUCCUACAACACGGAUUCCUACUACACCCCCGAACUAACCGUGUAAUAGGAGUCUAGACUGUAUUGCGUUCAUCACUGGAUAGCCCGUGCUCCAGCCAACAAAUUUGUCGAAGACACCACCUACUUAAAUUAUCACGUUAUUGAGAUACACACAUAUACGUUUGUAUUUUUGCAUCCAGUUUGUAUGCACACUAGCGCCGCCUAUCGGUUGAAUUCCUACUUACUUGGUUCGUCACUGGAUAGCCCGUGGCCAGGCCAACAACUUUGUCGAAGACACCACACAGUUAAAUUAUCACGUUAUUGAGAUACACGCAUAUACGUUAAUACUUUUGCAUGCAGUUUGUAUGCACACUAGCGCCGCCCAGCGAUGGAUUUGCCAAUGAUUUAGUUCAUCACUGGACAGUUCUUGACCAUGCCAACAAUUUUGCCAAAGAUACCAAGUUUUUAUAAAGCAAUAUCGAAAGAAUAUUUACAAUCCUAACUAUCUCAUUUUUAUCAGGUACUUGCGUCUCCAUCCAGCGACGGGUGGUGACGCCGCAGAUGGCUGUUACCACCCUCUUCAACACGCAAAACGUGCAGUGAUGCCAAUUAAAGAAGUUAGAAAUCAUGCGAAUAAAAUGUCCAUUGUUUCGAAAUUUAAUAACGCCCUUAUCGUAAGUGCAACUAAAAAGUUGUCUUCUAACAAAAUGUUCCCUAAUAUAUGCACUAAAUCUUCAGGGGGGGAGCGGAUUUUUAGAGUUGCUUUAAUGUGCCUUUUUCUUCAAAAGUUUGAAAAGUUGGAUUUCCCCAUACUGAAAAAUUAAAAUUCCCAUAUAAAACUUCAAGUCGAUUGCGGACUAGCUUACCGAUUUUUUAGAAUUUUUAAAUUUUGCAGGGCUUCAUUUGGGUCCAUUUGCAACCAUUUGUGACUAUUCGGGAUUGUGUAUUCGCAAUUUCGCAAAAAUCGACACGGCCUAAUGUGACACGGUCACUAGUGUUUGAUACAUUGUACCGGCGGAUAGACGCUGCUGUUGGAGAAUGACUUUAUGUUUGAUUUAUGGUCCGGAUUGUUUUUCCCGUACUGUACUUGAAUAUGACAAAGCACAAGCAAGUGCUAGUAGAUCAUGCCACGUUGGGAAAGUGUUUGCGGGAUCAACUUUUCGUGACAUGAUUUUUCGCAAAAUGUUUGCUGUCAUCGGUGCACAGCGCCAACUAACGGUGAUUGAUUGUGUAGUCGAUAAUAGGAAAAUUCAGCUUCAUGUGAAUUCUCUUGACUGCACUAUAACGUCACUUGAGUUCAUAAUGACGACACUUCACCAAUAUAAUCGACGUCAGCACCUAUCAUGGGUAGUUAGAGCCAUCCACCUAGCGAUGUCGCAAAAAUUCAAUUAAUCGAUUGAUCACUAAACCGAUAUCGAUUAAUCAGGCUGCAAUUAAUCGAUUAUAUUUUUAUUGUAUUUUCCCAAAAUUCAACACGGUAUAUCGCUGGUGCAACGUAUAGCCCUUUUUUAGCAGCAUUUUCAUGAUAACACCAGGACUUUUCGCAGGGAUAUCAAAAUUAUCUUCCUUAAGAGUUUCAUCGAACGUUUUCCAGGAACUUCACCAAGAAAUUCUAUAGAUUUUUUCACAUUAUGUCAGAUUAAUUGCUCCAAGAAGUCAACUAGUAAAUAAACAGUUUUAAAGGGCAUCUCCAGUAAUGAUUUAAUUCUAGUUAUAUUUUUAAAACGGUUACAAAAUUUAUAACAGGGUAAAUUUAUUUUUCAAUGACUUAAAAAAUCAUAAACUCCUUUGGACUCAGUAGAAUGAUGUUCCCAGAGGGCAUACAUGUGAUUUGCCAUGGCAACAAUAUAAAUAGAACGCGUCAAAAUCUUGUGUCAAAUUUGUGCAAAAAUAGAACGGGGUCGUAUGCUAGUUACAAAUUUUGUAACAAAACUGUUCUAAUUUAUAAUUUUGAAACGCUUGCUGCAGAUAACCGAGAUGCAGUUCUAGAUGCUUUUUAUAAUUCCCAUACAUUUUGAAGGGGUCAAAUAUAGUCAAGAACUUUGAAAUGCUUCCAAAAAUCCAUUUUGAUUCGAUUCUUAUUCUCUUAGGUUAAAAUGAGAUACACGAGUUCUAAGACCGUUACAUACAGGGGAUGGCCAAAAUGUUUGGGAUAGGCAACUUUUUUUUCUCUCACAAAAAAGUUCAACAUGCUAUAACUUUUCAUAGAGUGCAUCAAAAAAUCUCAAAUUUUGACUGUUUAUCAACCUGUUAUAUGUGCAUCAUUGGUACAAAUUUGGGCUCAAUUGAAUACUUUUUCGCAAUGUUAGAACCGUUCCGGUAAAACAUUAUUUUUUAGACAACUUAUUUUUGAGCUGUCAUAUCUCAGAAACCAGUGAACCGAAUUGAAUGAAAUUUUGAACGUACACUAACAAUAUACAAAUGCUUCACAAACUAUUAAAACAUAGAUACUUUUUGAACGUUGAAAAAAGUUGUCAUGGAUUGACACUUUUUGGAUUUUUCUCGAAAAAAUGUAAUUUUUUUACAUCAAUGUCAGUAAAUUUUAGAGUUGAUGUCCAAAGAUUUUCCACUUCUGAUCUCAAGUUAUCUCUGAUCAGAUAUAUUAGAGCCUAUUUAGAUUAAAGGAAGAACACAUUUAGUAAUUUUUGUGUGGUAUUGUAAAUUUGACUUAUAUUCCUCUAUAUGGGUAAAAAUUUCAACCCGGUAUAACUUAAUUCGCCGUGAGAAAAUAUUACAUUUUAUAACGUUGUAUUAAGUAUCAAUAUAUUGUUGAUAAACGUUAACAAAUUCAUUCAAUUCGGUUCACUGGUUUCCGAGAUAUGACAGCUCAAAAAUGACUUGUCUAAAAAAUAGUGUUUUAUCCGAACGGUUCUAACUUUGCGAAAAACUAUUCAAUCGAGCCCAAAUUUGUACCAAUGAUGCACAUAUAACAGGUUGAUAAACAGUCAAAAUUUGAGAUUUUUUGAUGCACUCUAUGAAAAGUUACAGCAUGUUGAAUUUUUUUGUGGGAGAAAAAAAGUUGCCUAUCCCAAACAUUUUGGCCAUCCCCUGUAAUCAGGGCCAUUCCGGGACAUGUGCAUCUGUAACCGGUUUCGUAACGUGCCCACAGGGGACACAUACAGAUUUUCGUGCUGAAACUUACUUCGACGAUCUGACAGCGCGAUAAUCAACGCAUAAGUGCAUUAGCCAUAUCCGGGUAUUUUGGAACCGGCACCGGUAAGACUUGGAAAGAAUUCACAUAUUCCAGUAUCGAGAAAAAUUUGAUCACACCACCAAACUAGUCAUGAGACGUCUACCCGACUAGUAAAAUAUAUCAAAUUUAUAACACAUUGUGUUAUGAUGACAUGAAAUUUUUCUAUAUUUUAUUUUGUUAUAAACUAGAUGCAGGGUGAUGUUAAAAUAACUAAAACAGAAAAGUACACCGGUCUAAUCAAAAUAAUAACCUAAUUUGUUAUAAUCAGAACAAGGUUAUAACACAAUAUGAUAUAAAGUUUAGCUUCAAGAAAACUAGUUUCUAUCAUAUUUUGAUACACUUGUGUAAAAUUAUGUUCUGAAUGUCAAAGGAUCAGAACUAAAAUAUUUCACAAUGAGUUAUUGAACAACAUUUAUAACAAAAUAUGAUACAAUUGAGUUAUAAUAUUUUUAAACACCAAUGAUGUUAAACAUGGUUAUAUCACAAUGAGUUAUACAUAUAAUGGUUUGUUAUAAUUAUGUUAUAUUUUUGUUAGAAUCUUCUAGUCGGGUAAUCUUUAUGAUUUUGCACACUAAUUGCAAUGAUGAUAGGUAAACCAGCGACCAGGCUGAAAGCCUCUCAAAUACAGACACAAAAAAAAACAAAGAUGAUAAAUAAGCAUCAUUGAUAAAACUGGCCCAAUUGCGGUCACUGGAACGUGACAUGAAUUAACCCGUUUCGAGGACAUUUUAAACAUGUAAUGAAAACAUUUCAUACGAUGGCUCAACCGUCAUACUUUCCCAAUGCUAUGAAGGAAUUCCUCCAAUGGUUCAUCCAGGGAUACCUCCAGAAACAUUUCCAGCGAUUUCUUCAGGGUUUCCUUUAUGGAUACCUACAGGAAAUUCUCCAGGGAAUUCUCCAAGAAUUUCACCAAGGAUUGCUACAGGGUUUCCUCCAGGAAAUCCUCCCCUUUAAAAAUAACCCGAAAAUUCAAUCAGCAUCUUCACUGAAAUUCAACCAAGUGUUUUCUGAGAAUUCCCAUGAAUUUCUUUCUACAGGAGUUCUCCCGGAAAUCUCUCUUCAAGUUCUUCGGAAAUUCCUCUAGAUGCUUCCCGGGAAUUGCUCCAGGAAUUUCCCAUAAAUUCCUCUAGAGAUUUCCUGGGCAAUCCACCAUCAGAUCCACGUGAAUUCGUACAGGAAUUCCCUCUGAGUUCUUUGAGGUUUUCCUCGAUUAAUUCUUGGGGAGCUCCACGGGAAUACUAAUACAAGUUCCAUGGGAAUUUCCGCAGGAGUUCCUCGGCAAUACGUCCAUAGGUUCCAUGAAAAAUUCACCAGAAAUUACCCGGGUAUUUUUCCAAAUUACACCAGGAAUACAUCCAGGAUUUAUCAAGAAUGUUUAUAGAAAUUCAACCAGCAUCUUCAUUUAAUAUCUGCGAAGUUUUUCAUGAAUAUUUCACCUGAAAUUCUCCAGAAGUUCCCCAAGAGUUGAACGGAAUUUUCUCGAAGUUCUUCGUAAAUUUCUCCAGUGGUUUCUCGAGAAUUCCUCAAAGAAUUCCACAAGAAUUCUUCCAGGUGUUCAUCGCGAAUUUAAAGGCAAUACUCCUAGGAGUUCCCUGAAAAUUCCUCUAGUUCCUAAUGUUUUUUUCUUUCAGAUCCCUCGGAAAUCCUCAUGUAUUCCUACAGCAAUUUAUCGGCAAUUCAACUUCAACUUACCUGAAGAUUGCUCCAGGAGUUCAUCGAGAAUUUCCCUACGAGUUUCAUUGCGAUUUUUCCAAAGACUCCGCGGGGUGGGAAUUUCUCUAGUUCUUAGGGAAUUCUUCCAGGAGUUCCCUCGAAAAUCCUCAUGGAUGCCUCGGAGUUUCACGGAAAUUCCACCUGGAGUGACCUGGAGAUUCCUCUAGCUAGGAGCUCCCCUAGAAUUCCUCCAGUAGUUCCUCGGGAAUUUCCCCAGAAGUUAUAUGGAAAUUCCUCUACCAGCUCUCCGAAAAUUUUACCAGGAGUUACUCAGAACAGGUUGGACUAGGUUAUCCGGAGUCAGGUUUUGAAACUUGCCAAACAUUUAUCUUGCAAAAUGACUGAAAUUUUGACUGAUUAUUAACCCUCGAGCAGUCGCGUCUUUGACUACCUGCAGCGACGCCGCGCUCACGCUGUGUACUAUAUACGUGCAAUUUUUAUGGUGCGUGUACUCAGUACACGACGUGACCGCUCCCGAGUUAAGCGAAGUUUGCUUGACAAAAUGGCAAAAUUUCAGCUUCAUACAACAUUUUGUUCCCAAGAUAUAUGUUUGGGAAGUUUCAGAAUCUAACUCCGGAUAAUGGAGUCCAACCUGCCAUUACUUCAGAAGUUCCCCAGAAAUUCCUCCAGAACUUUCUCGAAUAUUAUUCCAGAAGUACCUCAAGCAUUCUUAUAGAAGUUAUUUGGAAAUUCCUCCAGAACUUACUUCGAAAAUUACUCUAGAAGUUGCUUGGAAAUUCCUACAGCAGUUCUUCAAAAAUUGCCUCAGGAUGUCCUCUGGCAUUCCUCCAAGAGUUCCCCGGGAACUCUUCAAUGGAUUCCCCGAGCAAUCCUCAGGAGUCCUCGGGGAGUUCCUUCAGAAGUUAUUUGGGAUUUCAUACAGCAUUUGCUCGGUAAUUUCUCCAGAUGCUCGUUCCUUGGGAACUCCUUCAAAAAUUCCUUAUAAAUUCCACCAGGACUUCCUCGGAAAUACCUCCAGGAGCUCCCUGGGAAUUUCUCCAAGAGUUCCCUGGGGACUCCUGCAGGAGUUCCCUGGAGAUUCAUCCAGGAGUUCCUAGGGAAUUCCUCCAGGAAAUUGUAUGAAAUUCCUUUAGGACUUCCCUGGCAAUUUCACCAUAAGCUCCCAGGGAAUAUCUCCAGCAGUUCAUCGGAAAUUCUUGAAGGAGUUUCCAGAAGUCCAGAAGUGGGAAUUUCUCCAGAAGUUUAUCAGGAAUUCCUCCUGAAGUGACCUGGAAAUACCUAUAUAAUCCUUCAAGAAAUCCGUGAGAUUUCUUCCAGAAGUUCCCGGGAAAUUCCUUAACGAGCUCUCGGUGAAUUGCUACAGAAGUCAUUCGGGAUUUUCUUCAGGGUUUCUUUUGGAAUUUCUACAGAAGUUUCUAGGAAAUUCUUUCAAGAAUUUCCUGAUAAUUCCUUUAGGAGCUCCUCUGAAAUUUCUCCAGAAGUUCCUCGAAAACUUCUCCAGAAUGUGCGAAAACUGCAUGCAGAAGUUCCUCGGGAAUUCCUCCAGGAAUUCCUUGAAAAUUAUUCCAGGAGAUCCCAGGGAAUUCUUUGAAGUUCCUCGAGAAUAACUCCAGGAGUUCCCCGGAAACUCUUUACGUUCCCGUGGAUUUUUCCCGUGGAACUCCUAGAGGAAUUUUCGAAAAACUGCUGGAGAAAUUUCCGGGGAACUCUUGGAGAUAUCUGCUGGAGGAAUCAUCAAGGAACUUCUGGAUAAUUUUCCAACGAAUUCUAUGGGGAAGUCACGAGGAACUCCAGGAAAAAAAUUCGAGGAACUCCUGGAGGAAUUGUCGAGCAACUCCCGGAGAAAUUCCUGAGGCACUCUUGGAGGAUUUCCAGAGGCACUUGUGGAAGAUUUACCGAGGAACUCCUGUAGGAAUUCCCAAAGUAUUGCUUGAGGAAUUCCCGAGGAACUCCAACGAAAUUCCCAGGGAUCUUUCGGAGGAAAUUUCGGGAAACUCUUGAAGAAAUUCCCGGGGAACUUCUGGAGAAAAUUUUGAGGAACUUAUUGAGAAAUUUCCGAAGAGCUCCUGCAGGAUUUGUCACAAAAUUCUUGAUGCUAUUUGCAAAGAACUUCUUGAGAUAUUUUCGAGGAAUUUCUGGAAAAAUUCCCCGAGGACUCCUGGAGAAAAUUCCGAAAAAACUUCUGGAAUUCCCGAGAACUCUUUGUGGAAUUCCCUAAAGGUAUUUCCAGGUCACUUCAGGAGGAAUUCCAGAUAAACUUCUGGAAACUCCUUCAAGAAUUUACGAUGAACUGCUGGAGAUAUUCCCUGGAAACUUAUAAUGAAAUUGCCAGGGAAGUCCUAAAGGAAUUUCAUACAAUUUCCUGGAGGAAUUCCCUAGGAACUCCCGGAGGAAUCCCUAUGGAACUCCUGGAGGAAUCCCAGGAAACUCCUGCAGGAAUCCCUAGGGAACUCCUGGAGGAAUUCACAGGGAACUACUUGAGGAAUCCAAAGCGAAUUCUUGGAGGAAUCCCUGCGGAACUCCUGCAGAAAUUACCGGGAAACUUCUUGAUUAAUCCCCGGGGAACUCUCGGAGGAAUCUCCAUGAAUUUCACGAAGGAAUUCUCGAAGACCUCCUGGAGGAUUCCCUGGGGAACUCCUGAAGAAUUUUGGGGAUCUCCUGAAGAAUCCUAGAGAACUCCCGUGGGAAUCCCGUUGGAACUCCUGAAGGAAUUCCUGGGGAACUCCUAUUGAUGUUUCCAAGGAACUCAAAUAGAAAUUUCUGAACAGUUAUAUUGAUGAGAACCUUCACAAAGUAUUGCUGGGGUACUUCUUGAGGAAUUCCCUAAGAACUUCUAGAGAAAUUUUUGAGAAAUUUCUGGGGAUCUCCUAGAGGAAUUCCAUAAAGAAUAUCUGGAGAAUUACCCGGGAAACUGUAUGAUAUUUUGUGGAUCUUAUUUUUGCUAGAAAAGCUGUGUCUUUUGGAUUUGUAUUUUUUUCUCUGUUAACAAAUAAACAAAUUUUAAUAAAAACUCUUGCAAAUAUUCCCGUGGAAUUCUGGAAAAAAUUCCGGGAAAAUCCUGGACGAAUUCUUAGGAAAUAAUUGCUGCAGUACUUUUCAGGAAAACCCUGGAGGAAUCCCUGGAGAUCUCCUCAAGCAAAUUUUGUGGAUAGCCUGGAGGAUUUAUUUUAUGAUAAUGUAUGGAGGAAUUUUCAGAGAAAUCUUGAUAAGAUUUCUAGGAUAAAAUUUUGGGAGGAGGUAUUUUGGGAACCUAAUAAAGAAAUUCUCGUUGAAUUCUUAGAAAUAUAACUGGACAAGCCAUGAAGGGUUUCCCGGGAUAUUGUUUGAAGAAUUCCCGAGGAACUCAUAAAGGAAUAUCAUGGAAAUCCUGCAGUGUUCCCGGGCAAAUCCUGGAUAAAUUCUCGGAAAUCUCCUGGGGGUAUUCCCGGAGUACUCCUGGGUGAAUUUUUGUGGAAAUUCUGGAGAAACUCCCGGGAUUAUUCUAAAGAAAUUGCCGCGAAACUCUUGGAAAUUAUUGGGGAAUUCCUUGCGACAAUUUCAGAACCACUUUUCAAAAGCAUCCCUGCGAGAACUCCAAGAGAAAAUCCGUACUUAGCUCCCAGGAAAUAUUCCUGCACUCUUAAAAAAUUAAUAUUUCACACGUGACGUAAACCAUCAACGUACGUAAACAAUUCAUGACUGAAUGGUUAAUUUGACUCAAUUUUACAUCCACCAUGAACAUAAGUUCGAGUUGGUUGCACAAGAUGUUAACAAACCUAUCUGACCAGAUAGGUAGAAACAGUUUACCAGUUAUCGUUUGUCUCACAACUCGGUGAUACAGCCGAGAGGUACUGUACGCGCCUCUCAAUCAGCGGACCAGAGUUCGAAUCCAGUUCAUUAUUUUACUUACAUAUGUUUUAUCUCUCGCUUCGGCUCUAGCGAUUGCUAGCUCGACUUUAUUUGUGAUAGAAGACGUAAAUUUGUGUCAAACGGGCCGCUCCUUUUAUGUGCAUCCAAGUCAACUUAAAUUUGCAUUAUUUUUUCUAAGAGUGUGGAAGAAACUAAAAAAAAAACUUUUGGAGAAAACUUUAAAGAAACGACUAUAGGAGUUCCAGAAGGCAUUCCUUCAAAAGUUACAAAAAAAAAAAAUGGAGGAAUUCCAGUAGAAACUACUGACGGAAUUCCGGACUCCUUGAGGAACCGCAUAAAAAAGUCAUGGAUGAGAUUACCGACAACAUUCUCCCUGUUUCUCUUGUAUCUCCAGAAAUAACCUGGAAACCACAAUUAAUCCCGUAUUUCACCGAAAUCAUCACCAAGCUCAGUUUCUUGCUCAAAGUACAACCAGUAGUACUAUUUCUUCAAAUUUGUGUAAACAAGUUGUACCAGAAAAUGUUUUUCAGCAUCAUGCUGAAUUAAUUCGGCAUAAAGGUGCUCGGUAAAUAAGUGAUUGUUAUUUGGGAUGUGGAUUGAAACGUAUCACUGUGCCCUACUUAUUAUCUAGAACAUAGUAGGGGUACUCACUAAACAGACUAAAUUGCUGCGUAAGUCAUGAUUUUCUGCUUAUUUGAAAUGUUUCAUUAUUUUGCGAAUGAAAUAAUCGAAGAUUACCUUGGUGAUCGCGAUGUUUAACCAGUUUAAUCGGUUUACGCUGUUUAGUGAAUCCCCUAGUGAAAUAAUUUUCAACUGCUUUUGAAUAGUUGAUGAUUGAAUGUGAUCGAAAGUGAUAUGUAAAUGAAAUUUUGAACAUUCAUGAUUUUGGAAACCAUUUGACUUAAAGGAACUGUUUGCAAUUGAAGUUAUCCAAUUAUCUAUUCCAACAUAAAUAGGUUGGCAGAAUAAUCGGAAACACUGCGACUUUUUUGAUAAUCGAUAAAAUAAUCGAAUCGAAUAAUCGAUUAUCAGAUUAUUCGGUCAAAGCGGUAAUCGAUUGAACAUGCUAAAAGUUUAUAUUAAAUUUAAGAAACCUUCAAGAAAAUUAGUGCACCUCUGCGGCAAAAAAUUCUAAAUUUAUAGAGACAUCUAUAUUGAUUUUUCAAAGAAUUGCGAAUAAAAUAUUCCUGAAAACUUACAAGCUAUCGGUGUCGCAAAAUAUCUCCCAGAGCAUCGGUUAGGAUUUCAUAAGGAAUUUAGUUAUUAUUUAAUAAUUUAAAAAAAACUAAAUUGAGCAUGAGCAUAGAUGACCGUACAAUUCGUAGUUGCUACUCCGUGAUUGACCAGAACAAUAAAAAUUGCACAAGGAACCAACAAACGGAGCUUGAGAGUAGCUACCGCUCGCCGUGUGCACAGUGCGAGAAUUCCAAACUUUAUUAAGUCAAUAACGGCGCCGGCCACGUCCUGACGGUCAUCGAGGAAGGGAAGGAAAGUUGGUGUGACAAGUUUAGUCAUAUCUUCUCCUUAAAUGAACUGAAACCUUGUGUUGAGAUGGAAAUGAACGGAACAGAGUUAUUUCUAAUGUAAACUAUUUUGGUAAAAACCUUGAACCUGAAUAAACGAUUCCAUUUGCGCAAAACUUUCCGUAGAACUUUCAUAAGCUGCCCAUUAUUCCUAUGAUUGCAGAGCAAUUCACAAUAAGAUCGCUUCCAAUUUCGUUCCUCAUUCGGCGAAGCCACUCUGGCUUCCAUUUGCUCGAAUUGUCACAUAUUUUCCAGGUAGGUGGGUAGGUAGAUAGGGUAGACAUAACUGGUUUCAUUCUGUAGCGAACUUCCAGGAACAGGUCGAUUGUCAGGGUACAAUCAUCCCCAAAACGUUGAUGAUAGAUAGGCAGACAUCCAUCCAUCGACAUCGAAUCGAAGCAGGAGGUUAUCAAUUGUAGGUACAAGUUGUCGACGGAUGUUCUGAAAAGAAACCCAAGCUCUCCAAGCUCCACGGCUGUGUGUCUGUGUGUAAUGUGUGGGUGUGUGCUAUAUGAGAUUUCGCCUGAAAGGUAUGCAAUAGGAGAAGCCCUUUCGUCUUGUCACAAUCGCAACCGACGGUGGCGCAGCUUCUUCUGCCUUGUAUUGGGACUUCCCUGGGUGAACACAAUUCGAGCGAUGAAUUUACGUCGCUACUGAUGGGAAAGUACCUAGUACCCUUCUCAGCAAGGUGGAAAUAGUAUAACUUUCUGAUGGAUACAACCGAGAGUCGGUCCUUGCUGCGAGUCAUCGAAUGAUGAUGGUGAUGAGGUGAUGGAUGCUUGCUGUGCCGAAGUGGGCCGAGCGUCCUUGGAAGGAUGGAGGUGGGCUCUGGGAGCUGUAUGUCGCACAUCAUUGCCUGGCUUGUUGGUUAUGUUCGGGAAUAUGAACAUCACCGACGACCGGAUGAGAAAUGUAAUAUUGAAAGUUUUAUUACACACAAUGCGAUGGCGACGACUACGACGACGGGGUAGAAAGAGCCUUUGCGAUGGAGUUCACUUCGACUCCAUUGUUCGGAAAAGGACGAUCAGGGACCGGAAGUGGCGCAGGGCAGCAAGAACACGCAACAGCAGCAACAAGCGCUGUGUCUUUUGUCGUCGGUAGGUAUACGUUCAAUAUGGGUUCCGAAUGAGUUUAUUGACGACGACAAUAACUACAAUGCAAGGGUACGGAGCGGAGUGAAUUCAAUGAAUAAUGCUCUGGUGCUCAGAAUUGGCUCAUUGCCUUAUGCUUUUUGGAAGAGGACCGCAAUUUGUAGAGAAAUUGUUCACUGUUUUGGAAUUUACUAUGAAAAUACUAUAAUCAUUACCAAUGAUUACUUCAAAAGAGAUCAAUAUCUCCUAGAUUUUCAUAUCAAUCCAUUUAGUUUCACUAAUACUGCAUUUGCAAGGUUCUAAUUUGAAUACAUACACAAUACACAUGUGCAAAGUUCUGUUUUGAGCAUGAUAAUGGUUGAACGUUGAACUUAAAAAGAAAUACAUUCUGCCUUUCAAAUCACAGAUAGCAACAUUGUUGGUCAGCUUUCAGCCAUCACUUAUUUUUGUUUUUACUUAAUUAUUUAGCAAAAGCAAUCGUUACUCAAUCUCAUACAACUGAACGGUACCGCUCUUGUAUCGUUUCUUCCCAUCUGAAAUGGUAUAUCCUUUCCAUUGUUGCUCCAUUGUUGGAGGGAGCCUUUCCUGUACGACAAUGUGAUCGGAGCUUUAAAUCUGAUUGCAGCAAAAUAAAAUACAACCAUAGAUUCGACGGGAGGAGAGUUCGACUAAGGCCAAUAAUGGGAUUAACAGGUAAGUGGACGAUCCGAAUUAUCUUUGUUGGAUGUAAUCUGAUUGGAUCGAUCAUUUUACACAAUGAGUUUCGGGGAACAGUUGAAUUGAUGAUACGUCAGAAUAAGUUAGAUAAUUUCGAUAAAAACCUCUUCAUUCUGGCAAACAAAGGCUUGUGUCCGUUGUUGUAAGGUUCCGAGCUUGUUCCGGAUAUGUGUCAGAUUCAAAUCGAUGAAAAAAGAACCUAGAAACACGCUUCUAAAACUCAAAAUAACUGAAGAAAUCUAGGAACAGGAGAUUACCAUCCCCUGUCCCCCUUGAAUGAAACCUUGUCAAAACGGUUUCAUGUAAAAGACAAAUUAGUCGCAUUCCAUAUACGAGUUCCUUACUAGCUACCGUGCUGUUCAAACAUGAGUUGAGAGUCCUGAUUAAGUUUGCUUGGACUAUUGAACGACUUGUCUAAUCAGAUUUUGCAGCAAUUAGGUUUAUGAUGGCAUUAAAAAAAUCAUCAUAAAUGAAAGGAAUAAUACUGUUCUAUGUGGAAUUACAAGAGAAAUGUUAGAAUUUCUAGUGAUAUUCGUACUUUUAGAUUCCUAGAAUUUAUGAAUUCUGAUAGAAAUGCUUAAAUUAGUUAUUUGAAUCAUACAUGAGGUCACUCAUUUUGAGUGAAAAAAAAUUGAAAUGUAUAUGAAGAAUAACUACUAGCCCUGUGCUUCAGUGACUGUUGUUUUUAUCGCUCUAAACUUGCUUUUGUUUUGCAUCAUUUUUUAAUCGAUUUUAAAUAUACGUCUGUGUUGAACUGCAUGUCUAAAGUGUUAAGCCAUAUCAUCAGUAUAAACACUCGUUCCCAGUGCUAGUGCCCAUCGAGAAAUCUAUUCAUUUUGUGACGGCAGCUGCGCGGUGAUAAAGAUCUGAUUGAUCACCAUAUUUUCAUUCGUGCUAUACUGCAGUUCGUUGUGGAUUCCAUUCGUUAUUCGUGCCAUACUGCGUUUCGUUGCGUACUCCAUCUCCGCUAUACUGCGUUUCACUGUGAAUCACUUCUAACGCGAUAAGAGUAUCUCCACCGGUGUUCUAUAUCAAUAUCGAGUUCGACGAAAAGGUGUAAUUAUGGCGAAACUACUUUGCGGAGAGUGUAAAGAAAAAACUGAAAUACACUCGAAUUUUUUUUUGCACGGGUCGAUUUUUGACCACCACUCCGUCAAUUUUCAACCGAUUCACAUGAAAAUUUGUUCAUGGGGCGACACUGUCAGUGCUAUCCGUAUCAAGUCAAAUUAAUUGGUUUAAAAUUGACUGAGUUAAAAACUGAGUGCAAAAAAUAAAUAAUCGAGUGUUUCCUAAAAGUUUGUUUUGCUGCAAGUCAUAUGUUUUUUACAAGAUUUUGUUUUGAAUUUAUCAAAGAUAUAGUGGAAACACGGUAUCUUUGGUAAAGAAACAUUAUAAAAAAACAGUACACCCAAUCCCUUUUUGCACGGGUCGGCUUUUUGCUAUAACUCAGGCAAUUUUGAACCAAUUUACCUGAAAAUUUGUACACAAGGAUACAUAGUCAGUACUAUCCACAUCAAAUCAAGUUAAUUGGUUUAACCCUUUGGAGCUGGAGGGGUCAACCCCAACAUAUUUCCGUAGGCCCUGAAAACCUAUAUAAUAAAGAAACAAAAAACACCAACAUAGAAACGGCUGUAUAAAUUCACCCUUCGAUAAACAGAAUACUGUCUUGGGCAAAGUUGUUGCAAAUUGAGUCCUCUAUUAGGGAAAAGUGGAAAUAUUUGUAUUUGGGACUUCAUUGAUAACCUAGAACAUCCUGAACACCAUGCAAUUUAAAAAAACGGAAUGAUUGACAUACCAGUUGUUCUAAAAGCUGAACUUGGAUGUGGGUUACGUUUACAUGUUUUCAUUUAGCCUUCGUCAAGAAUAUCAAUAGGUAGUCAAUAUUCUGGGAUGUUCUAUGUGUUCCAAACUGUUCUACACUGAAGUUCUUCAAAUCUACGAGAAUAAUUUUAUGUGUUUUCACCAUAAAUAAUAGCAUUACAUACUCAGGAUCAGUGAAGCUCUUGAAAUGUCAUUUAGAGACACUAUAGAUAUAUUCCAGGUCAGCCAAACUACCUUGGAGUUUGGAACUUCAGGUCUACACUCGUAACAGCAGCCAUAUCUGCUAUACUGAGUAACGUUGCAAAAUCAACUGCGCCUACGGGACCAAUCUGAAGUCUACUUGAUAUUAUUAUAAACCUUUGGGUAAUCUGUAAUCUCUCUGGCAUUCCAUAAGUUAUUCCAAGAUAGUUUGAAAGAUUUCAGAUCAACCAUACUACUUCGGAGACCAUAGUUUAAGGUCUACACUUAUAAUAAUAGCUUUUGCCAGCUUUUUAUAUCUGCUGUAUUUGCCAAAGUAGCAGAAGAACAAUAAGCGUUGUUAAAUAUUUUUGGGAAAUUAUGGGCCAUCAUUACUGUUAUGGAGCGUAGUUGAUAAAAACAAGCACUGUAACAUGAGGUGAUUUCGUUUUAGAUGGUAACGUUACGCAACUAAAUACCUAGGAUUCAUGAACCUCUUAACUCUCAAGCGUCACUUCAUGAUGGAUUUGUGAUAAUUAAGGUCAUCAAAUCUUUUAUGGAGUUCACAACCUCAUAUCUACACUUGCAAUGCUAGCCUGCUACAUUAACCCGUAAACACGAUCUACUUUUGGUAGAAAUGCAAUAUCUUCUUUGUUUUAAAACAUUUUACCUAGGUUUUUUUUUUAUAGUCAAGGGGAAUAGUUGUUCUAAGAAAUGCAUGGUACCUCCCCGAUUUGCACCCUCCCCCCUUUUGCUGGGAGCCAAAAAUACGUGGCUUUUUAUGUAUUUUUUUAUGAAUUCUACAUGUUUUUGUUCAAAUUUCAUCGUUUUGCUAAUCAUCAAUAGUUUUCACUGAUCCUUGACAUACAAUGUAUUACUACCCAUCAUAAUGCUGAAGUUUUGAUCCCAGAGCUGUUCUAAUGCCUCCAAAGUACUCCGAAGUUUGUGACACAAAUCCAACAGUCUCAACCAAAUUUUAUACACGAUGAAUGAUCACAGAACAUAGAUACUCAAAAAGCCUUAAAGCACCCCUAGAAAAUUCAUGGUCCAUGAAUGGGGUGAUCUAGGUCAUCCAAACUACUCUGGAAUUCAUUUUCUUAAGAUCUACAACAUCUACCAUCGUUUGUGUUCACUCUGUUCAAGAAAUUUAGUCCCGUUGAUGUCCAUUAGACCUCGCAAUGAUACGAGCAACUUGAUAUUGUGGUAGUUGGACAUUCCGUGAAAUUCAAAUGGCCUCCAAUACACUUUGAAGUUUAAGUUACGAUAUCUACACACUGUAUCAUGUUUAGGUAGUAAAAAAAAGUGGAAUGCAGUCUUUACUGAUGAUGGAACCUCAUUGCACAGCAGCUAUACUGCUUUUGGUACAUUCAUGGGAUAUUCCAGGCUUUCCAAACUAUUCUGGAAUUAGGGCCUUCAAGGUCUACAGGCUCUACUCUUGUUUCUCUUCGCUUUAUCGGCUUAAUUCUUUCACGAUUGUGUCUGUUCCACCCCAUUGUAUUUUUAAGUAUGGGUCGCAAUAUCUGUAAAUUUUAGCAAGGAUGUUUUCGAUCACCUGGCAAUCGCUUGACUCAUUUGUUCAUAACUCAGUUCAGAAACAUAAUAUUGAAAUGUUGUGUUUGGCAAAGUUGUAGAUUAGUGUUUUUCCUACAAUUAUCACCAAGGACGCCAAAUUCUAACUCUAAUAUUUACGUCGUAAAAGUGUUAGUACCACCUACUCAAACUAAACGAUCGUAUUUUUCGACCAUUUAGUAUGAGCAGGUGGUACUAGCGCUCUAGCGCUGUGUAUAUAAGAGGUAGAAUAUGACGUUCUUGGUGAUAAUUGUAGGAAAAACUCUAAUCUACAAUUUUGCCGAACACCACAUUUCAAUAUUAGGUUUCUGAACUGAGUUUUGGACAAAUGAGUCAAACGAAUGACAAGUGAUCGAAAACAUCCCUGAAUUUUAGGAUAUUUUUAUUGUAGUGAGUUCUCGCAGAAUAUAAUCUACGCUACUGUUAGAGCCUCAGAGUGAAAUUCUUACUUGGUGAUCUAGGUCAUCCAAACUAUUCUGGAAUUGAGACCUUCAAGCUCUACAAGCUCUACUCUUGAUUCUCUUCACUUUAUCGAUGUAUUUUUUUCACGAUUACCUCUGUUGUAUCUCAUAAUAUCUAGAGUUUUUCUUUGUGUUACUUGUGCAUCCACUGACAUACAAAUGAUCUUUAUGGUAUUUUGAAGUGUCGGAGAUUACCCAAGAAUUCCUCCAGACGUUCCUCGGGAAUUCCUCCAGGAGUUUCUCAGAAAUUCAUCGUAAUGUUCUUCGAGAAUACCUCUACUAGUUCUUCCAAGAUUUACCAUGAAAUUCUUCAUGAGUUUCCCGGCAGUUUCUCGGAUUUUUUUUCAGGAGCUAUGCUGAAAUUCCUUCAGGAGUUUCUCAGGAAUAUCUCAAAGAACCUUUUGAAAAAUCCUGCAGAAAUUCCUCCAGAAGAUCCCCGAGGAUUCCACGGGAGUCCCCCAAGGAUUUCAUCAGGAGUUUCCUGAAAACUCCUUCAGGAAAUUUUUCCAAAAGUUCCUUCAGGAAUUCCUCCAGGAAGUUUGCCAGAUAUUCCUCUAAGAGUUUUCCAAGGAAUUUCUCCAGCGAUUUCCCUAGAAAUUCUUCCAGGGAUUCCUUCAGGAAUUCCCCCACAGAAUACCUCAGAAAUUCCCUUGGGAAUUUCUUCGCGAAUUCUUUCAUGUUUUUUUUUGUUUUUAUUAAUAUGUAUUUUAACUUAAAUGCUAAUUCUACACUACGAAUUCUUUCAUGGAUUUCCCUAUGGACUCAUCGAGGAAUUCAUUCAGGUAUUCCUCCAGAAAUUCCUCUAGAGCUCUUUCAGGAAUCCUUCUUAUUCCAAUCAAUUCCUUUCCUCCAACAACUAAUACUGGGAUUUCUUCAGGAAUUCUUCAGAUGAUUCUUCCAGAAAUUCCUCCAGGUAUUCGUCCAGAGUUUUCUCCAGAAAUUCUUCCAGAAAUUUCUCCGGAAAUUCCUUCAAGAAUUCCCCCAAGAAUUCAUCAAGGAAUUUCUCCAGGACAUCUGCCUGGAAUUUCUCCAAGAAUCCCUCGAGGAAUUUCAACUACUACUGGACCUUCCUCAAGAAUUUCACCAGAGAUCGUUUCAGGAAUUUCGCCAGAAACACCUCCAAGGAAUUUUUUAAAUAAUUCCUUCAAGAAUUCAUCUAAAAAUCCUCCAGAAAUUCCUUUAUGAAUACCUCCAAGAUUCUUCAGGAAACCUCCAGAUUCCUCAAGAAAAUACAGCUGGGUCAACUCCAGGGAUUCCUCCGAAAGUUCCUUCAAAGAUUUCUCUAGGAAUUGCUCCGAGACUUCUUCCAAGAAUUCAGUUUGGAUGACCCCAGCCGAUCUGUUGAUGUCCACUGAACAUUUAGAAGAUUUACUGGACAUGAUAGAAUACAUAUCGUAGCUUUAUAUAAUGAAAGAAGUUACAAUUGGGCUUGAUAUUUUUAUCACAAGAUUCAACGGUUUUUACGAUUUCGAUUUCUGACCGCGAGAUAUACGAUUUUGAAUGCACUUCCCAUUACGAUGUGUGGUUUACUGGGACUAGCAAGAGAGACGAAAAGAAAACGGGAUCAUUCUAUCGAUACGCAGUCGACUGGUAUGGAUACCCAUGAAUACACAGCAAAGGAGCCCGAACAAGAGGAAAUGCAGGAAGAAUGGAUCGUUUACACUAGUAAGAAGCUUGAUCGAAUCAUAGAAAAUAACAAAAAGUUGUUAGAAAAAUGUGACUCUGUAAUUAAGCGAAAAUAAAAUUAGUAUUAGAGAUGAAUGCCCUUGUAGGGUAAAAUCUCUUUAAAUAAAAAAAAUAAAAAAUAAAAAAAACUUAUAUUUCUUCCUCCAUUGAACAGCCACCAUCUUGGAUAUUCUGGUCGCCAUUUUUGGAUUCUGGACAUCUUCCCCAAAACAAAUAAACCCAUAUUGUUUUUUAGAGCCUGGAACUUCAGUAAAAAGCUACCAGACAUCUUCCUCGUAACAAAUAUACCCAUGUUGCAUGAUUUUAGAGCCUAAAACUCCAAGAAAACAGCCGCCAUACUGAAUUUGGACCGCCAUCUUAGAUUUUGGACCGCCAUCUUGGAUAUUUUGGUCACCAUUUUUAGACUUCAAGCAGCUCCAUCUUCCUCAUGCCAAAUAUACCCAUAUUGCAUGGGUUUAGAGCCUAAAACUCCAUUGAACAGCCACCAUUUUGGAUAUUAGGCCGCCAUCUUCCAUUUUUAGCCAACAUCGUGAAAUUUCUGGUCUCCACCCGGGUAGAGGUUAAGUACUGACGAUCAAAACGUGAUAUUGAUUUGAUUGAUAUAAGAGAUAAAAGAUCUGAAAAUAAUAUCUGAAAAAUGUUCCUGGAACAUCUGAACAAUAUCAAAAUUUGAUAUUUCAAGAUCAAACAAAUAGCUUGCUGCUAUUGGUUAGAUCUUACAAGAUCUAAAUAUGAUCUGAUGCUGAUGUUCCAGGAGUAAAUUUUACAUAUUAUUUUUAGAUCUUUUAUCUCUUAUAUCAAUCAAACCAAAAUCACAUUUUGAUCUCAAUAUCAAAAUAUGCUAUUAUUGAGCUCUUUUCCUCUACCCGGGCAGUGGUGAUUUCCGCACAAAAUUCGUAAACCAUGCUAAAGGAUACAUUAAUCGGCGCAGUUUGAUGUGUUGCAUGAUAGGGCUUGGUUUAGUUUUAUAUACGGACAGUUCUAACGACGGUGGUCCGAAUCACUGAAAUGACCAUAACUCUGGAACGCCUUGAUCGAUCCGUAUCAUUUUUAAUAGCAAAAAAUGCGGUAAAAUUCCGUUUCGUUUCGUGCUAUAAUCCAAAAAAUCUACCGAUGCGAAGUGCCUUAAAGUGAGUGAUCUUCUUUUGCGCACAGACAAACAUACAUACACACAUACUUACAAACAUACAGACAUCAUCUCAAUUCGUCGAGCUGAGUUGAUUGGUAAUUUCGCUUUUCUGCAUUCCGUCCCGAAAGGGAUAUAUACCACUCAUAUCCAGUGUAUCCGACCGUCCAGAAAAAGUUCCCACUCAGAAAAACAUUGAUAACCAACACACUCAAUCCAUGUCGGCUGUCAUCGACGAUAACCAACCGCAAUUGAUUUACCCAAGUAGCACAUGUUGGACACGGUCCUUCCCGGAACUGCUAGACUCGUCCUACACCGGGAACCUCCCUAGAACAACAACAAAGGAUCCACUUCUGAACCAUUUGCUGAGGAGAGCAGACAGCAGAUCUGCUCCGGCAAAAGGGCAAUUAAUUAGAGAUUUCGCCUACCGUUUCGCCCACCUCUGAAUCUGGGUUUUCAUAGCUGAGAAGGGGAGAACGGAAGGGGGGGGGGGAGGUGCUAAGGGAAAGGAUAAAUAGUCCUCACUUGGAUGACCACAAAAUGGCAAGCCGCCAGAAACACAAACGCACGCACGCCACAUGCAAAAGCAAGCGGCCGAGAUAACCAACCAACCAGCGUCCAUCGACACUUCAGCCCACAAUGCAAUGACGACGACGACGACGACGCCGACGAUGACGAUGAUGAUGCGAUGUAUCUCUCUUGAAGAGUGUCGAUAAUCCGGUCUUAAGAAGAUGAGAUGGGGCCCUGGUGGGCCCCGGAGGGCUCGAUUGUGUUCUUCAUAUUGUGUGGAUGAGUGGGGAUUCCGGUUGGGCUGUGAAGAUGGUUCGGUCCGGGCGGACCUUGGAUGAUCCUUUGACGGCGCGGCGUGGGUCGGCCGGUGCGGAAGGGGGUGAGACCUGACAUGAUGAAUCCUUCCGGGAAAUCGAUUCAAUGCGGUUAUCGUUUUGUAUCGGAUGCUGUGCCGGAUGUGUUGUGUGGUAUGUUUUAUCACAUUGAUUGGGAUGUGAAUAGGUUUGGGGAUCCAUUUUACUCCAGAUGAGAAUUUAGUGACCCAAAUGUCGAAGAAGUGACUGAAGCUUUUUGGCAUUUAUGAGUUUUGUUAGCAUAUUGAAGCAAAGCAAUAGAGUGGUAGAGAAGGGACACUUAGGGUGUAUCCUAAUAUUUGGAAUAUUAUAUCUGGAAAUCCUAAUAUUCCAAAGAUUAGGAUUUUCAUAAAUUAAAAAAAAUAUAUUACUCAUGCAGCAGUUGGCCAAUUUUAACCCUUAUGUGGCCGGUAGGGUACCCGGGUACGCAGCACCCAUUUAAAAUACACGGUGUAGAAAAAAGCAAAAAGUUUGCCGGCCACAUAACGGUUAAAUACCUUUUUACACAUUUAAUUCAGAUUUAUUUUAUGCAACAUUCUAGGGUUUAUGAGCAUCCUGUUUGCAGGAAAUCUCUUUGGCAAUACAUAUAUUCGGCAACUUUCUUCAUACUUUCUUCGGCAUUCAUUCGUAGGGUGUCUACUUAUAAGGCAAAAUAAAUUUCCUUGAGUUUUAUAGGUUUUUCCAUUCGAUUUUAAUGUGAAUAAUUCAAAAAUUAGCCCAAAUUUCAUAAAAUUUCUAUAAUUCUCAGAAACUAUACAGAAAUAUCCUGAAAACUUCAGUUAAACAUUUUAAGAAAAAUUGUGCAAGAUUUAUUAUUCAAGAUAUUCCCCCAAACAGCUGAAUUCUUUCAAGAACUGUUAAACAAAACUCUUACAAAUAUAAUACAAGAAUCAGUUAAGGUGAACAUAUAACAAAGCCAUCCUUCGAAUUUCCAAGAGCACAAAUCUGAAGAACCAAUUAAUGGAUGGAUUUGAGAUAUUUGGUUCUUCAGAUUUGGGCUUUUGAAACUUCAAGGUGUGGCUUCGUUCUACAAUCACCUUAAGGAAUAUUUCUAAAUUUUUCAUUCAGUUCUUUUGGGUUAGUUACAAGAAACUGCUUUCACAUUUCCACCUACAACAUCAUCCAAAUACUCUUAAAAAUCAGUAAGAGGAUUUGCCGAAACCAUUCAAAAAUAACUCCUAGAAAUUCUGAAUGGUCAUCGUCUGUAACUUCCAAAAGAAAUCGUUCGGAAUUUCGGAAUUCUGGAAAUAAAUAUUGGGGAAAUGCUGGUAGGAAUCUGUAACAAUCUCCGGGACGAGUUCAAAAAUGAAUACCAAGACAAAUGGCGUGAAAAAAAUACGGAAUAAAUCUUGUUAAACCAUGGGAGUAAUUCUUAGAGGAAGGGUAAAUUGCCAAUUGUUGCACGGCUAAAAACUCGCCUAUUGUUGCACACUCCAUGCUUUUCUUAUUAGGUGUGCAACAAUUGGCGAUUGUUUAGCCGUGCAACAAUUGGCGAUUUACCCUACUUCCAGGAAAUUCCAGGAAGAAACCCUGACGGAAUUUAUGGAAUUACCCGUCGUAGGCGAUUUUCUAGAUAGAUACACUAACACAAAAUAAUCAAAAACUUCUUUUCAGUCAUACCUUUAUUUUUGAAUAAAACAUCUACAAGUAAUAAAAUCAGCUACUCUUUUUUCACAGGACUGAAUGUUUUAUUUUAUAAUCCGUGCAAAGCUUCCCUGAGUAUUCAAGAUACUCCCUGUUAAAUGAAAUUUCCCGAGGAUUCCCAGUUUUCCAGGUAGUAGACACUCUGAUUUGGUAGAUACCUUGGAUUUUUUUUCCAAAUUUCUCCUACAAUUUCGCUGGUAAUUUCGUUUGGAGUUCCGUAUGAUUUUACUUUGGGAAUCUCAAACAAAUUACCUAUUUCCAAUUUCCAAAAACCAAGAAAUUGCCCAAUAGGAAUAACCGAAAGACUUUCCGGAAAAGUAUUCAAAAUAAUUAUCAAAGAAAAUGCAAUAUAAAUAUUUGGAAUAAGUUUUCAAAGGCACUUCCAAAAGAAUUUAAUUAAAAAAAAAACUCCGAACGAAAUCUUAAUGAAAUGGCACGACAAAUUCCCCAAAUUGUAAUUUAUAAAGUCGAAAAAGUCAAAGACAUUCACCGAGAAUUUCACAAUCAAGUAAUCGACGGAAUUGUAAAAAUAAAUUAAAUGGAAAUUAUAUAGUUAUUGUGAGAUAAAAUAUCAAAGUAAUUUCCAAAUGACUUUCCAAAAAAAUUGCAUUAAUAUUGCCAAAAACAAAGAAUGUACAAAGAGAAUUAUCGGAGGAAUUGCCGAAUAGAUGUACGACGCAAUAACCAGAGGAGGUUAAAGAAAAACAAAAAAAAUGUAUAAGGUGUCCUAAAAGCAUUGACGAUUAUAAAAAUAAAAAAACGUCAAAAAAAUGUGAAGAAUUUCUCAAAAAUUUCCUCAAGGAAUUGCCUCAAAAAAUGGGAAAAAUAAAAAUUUAAGUUGUUGCGAUUCAAUACAAAAGAAACAAUGACAUCUGCCAUGUAAUCAAAACAUGAUUUUUUUAAAUAAUUAAAAAAAAAUGUUAAUACGUUUUAAAACACGCCAAAAACCAUUUAGGGUAUACAGAAUAGUCCUUUAUAUCAGUCGAAAAUAUAAAAAAAAAUAGAUUGCCAUUAAAAGAAAAAAUAAAAUGCUUAAAAUAUUGCCAAAGCUGUCCAAUAUUGUGACAAACCAUUUCUGAGGCACAUUUUUUUUCAAUUUCCAACUGCUCAAACCCUUCUCAAAAGUAAGGCUUGAGUCAAAAAAGCAAACUGGUGAUCCAAAUUGUUGCUUUUAGUCAUAAACAAUGAAACUUUGGGAUAUUUAUUUUCGGUGGAAAAACUCCAUUACUUUGAAAUAUUUGGUAAAGCAUGAAUGACUUUAAAAUAUUGAAAGCCUGUUAUGUCUUUGACAUGUUUAGAGCUUUUCCAGCCCAAAAUACGAACUAAAAAUUCAUUUUUGACUCAAUAUUUUUCAAUUUGAAUGAGGUUUUGUUCAUGUUAAUGAAAAAUUUAUUUUUGCCCCAACACAUAACAAUUUUUCCCUUUCUAACUUUUAAAAAAGGGGAAUACGAAAAACAUCAAAUCGUCACUUCAAAAAAUUAAAAUUUGAAAGCGGUUUGUUGAAUUGAAAUGAUGCCUUCGAAGAAGUAUGUUUGAAGGACCUAAUAAAAUACACUGAGCGUAAUAUCCACCGCGGAUUUAUGUUGGAUAUCAUACAAUUUCAAUUUUCUAAAAAUCUUCGAUUUUUUGUAGAAAACUUUCUUUUAGUCUACAAAAUUGCCAAGAAGCCCAGGAUGGUUAAAUCGAAGAUAACUUAAUCAAGAAAACUUGCAGCUCUGUUAUAUUCCCAUACUAACGGCAAGCGUCACCGACAGCACCACUGCCUGUUUAGCUAAAGUGGUACCAUUGUGCUAAGUGCAUUGGUGCGAAUAUGAAAAUUUAUAUAUACUAUCAUGAUUUGUUUCACCUUCAUCCGUGGUGGCGCUGUUAACUAACAUAGACUCCCGAUUUUCAGCAGUGCUGCAAGUCUUCUUGAUAAAGUGGUCUUUGGUUAAAUGGUUCGAACUAUUUUUUCUCGAGUUUGAAUUCUUUAUCGAUUUUUAUAACAGGCAAAAGGAAGCAAAUUUGGAAUUUUCAUAUAAAAAUUAGAUUCACCAUGCAGGUUCCAAUGUUAAGCCUUUGUAUGGUGGAUCUAAGAACCUCUUCUAGACUAUUGGACUAAAAAAUGUUACUUGAGAUACUUACAACGAAAUGAAAAAUAAAAAAAAUAAGAAAAAUGUAUAGAACCUUGUGAAAUGUUAUUCCAGUUUUUUUACUGUUUUACACUUUUUAACAAAAAAAUGGGUCAAUUAUAUCACAAAAAUAUGUGAAUUUUCUGACCGCCUCGAAGAACAUUUUACAAGGUCCAAUUUUUUCAUAUUUUUAUUUUCUUAUUUUUUGAAUUUGCUGUAACUUUAGUAUGGUUAGAUGUAGGAAAAACUUAUGCAUAGUUAUUUUCAUUCAAACCUGAAAUGAAACGUAGAAUCAAUAUAAAAAUUCCAAAAAUAGCUGUCUUUUGAUCGUUUUAAAAAUCGACGAAAAAUAAAAAAUCGAGAAAAAAACAGAAGCAUUUGAUCAUCCUGGGCUACUUGGCAAAUUUUGAGGCUAGAAGUCAGUUUUCUUCAGAAACAUAAGAAAAACAUCGAAGGCUAAGGUUUUUGGAAAAUUGAAAUAAUAUGACAAUUAACAUUGAUCUGCGAUGAAUAUUACUCUCAGUGUAUUUUAUUUUUUCUAAAAGUCCUUCAAAUAUCCUCAAAUAUAUUCGAAGACACCAUUUCAAUCUUAGAAACCGUUUCCGAGUUAUAAUAAUUUGAAGAAGAUAAUUAGGUUUUUUUUCAUACACCCUUUUCAAAAAUUAAGUUGAAGAAUAUUACAAAACAAAUUACAUGACAAAACUGUUCAGAUGGAAGCUUAUACAGAGCAAAAAUUCAUUUGAAUUGAAAAAGGUCGCGUCUUCGAGAUUCGUGCGUUGAUCUGGAAAUGCUAUUUAUAAGGUACACUGGGUUAAGUUGGCACGGUUGGGGCAAAAUGGAACACGAAGUUUUGAAACAGAUUACAAUACAAUUUUGAAAUUUGUCUAUUAUCAAAAGAUUGCUUCAUUAAUAAACUAUGUGUUGUGACAUUCAAAUUGAAUCUAUUUUUGAUAUAAAAAUUUGAUUUUUUUUCCUUUUGAUCGUUAUAAAAAUUGAUGAAAUUGAUGAAAAAAUAGAAGCAUUUGACCAUCUUAGGCUUCUUGACAGAAUUUUGAGGCUUAAAGUCAGCUUUCUACAGAAAAAAAUCGAAAGGUAAGGAUUUUGGAAAGUUGAAAUUAUGUGACUUCUAACAUUAAUACGCGAUCAAUACUACUCUCAGAGUCUCAGUGUAUUUUUUUUUUUAGAAAAGUCCUUCAAAUAGCCUCAAGCAUCUUCGAAGACAUCAUUUCAAUCCAAGAAAUUGUUUUUGAGGUAAAUUUUUUGAAAGAAGAUCAUUUGUUUUAUGAAUACGACCUUUUCAGAAGUUGGGUGGAUAUGUUGCAAAACAAAUUACAUAAAAAACAUUUUCAGAUAACAUUUUCAUUUGAAUAGAAGAAUGAGAAAAACAGAAAGAAAAACACUAAAGUAUUGUCAAGUAUUAUAGAAGACUUUUAAACGUAGGAAACUAGUUGUGAUGGCUUUUAGUAAGCCCGCUUGAUUCCUUACUAAAUCCAGUGACCAUACCAUAUUUAUAGUCCGAUCGAACACAUCCAUGCAAAACCACUUGACCACGAUCUAACCCAACAAACAAAUACAAUAAGCGCAACCAUAAGAGCGAUUACAAACUAUCUACGCUAGAACCAAAGACAGACUUAGCCGAAAUCCUAAACUUCAAAUUACUACAAACAGUCGACACAAACUCAUAUUCAUCUAUAAAUUGUGAUGUAUUUUAAAUAUUAACAAAAAAAUGAAAGGUUUAUUAUGGAGCUUUCGGCCAAAAUAUAUAUGGAUAGUGUCAUAAUCUACGUAGUCUCAUUUUUGGCCAUUGUAGACGUAGGCUUUGACCAAAACACUAACUCCCUCCUAAAAGUCUAUGUAGUUUAUGGACAGGCCCUAAGGAGAAAAUUUCGAGGAAAAUUGGGGAAAAUUCUAAAUUUUUAAUUAAAUUCCUGAAAAACGUAUGACAAAAUUUAUUGUGUAAUUUCCUGUGGAAUUUGUAGGUUAAUCCAUUAUUCUGAAAUAUCACAAAUAAAAGUAGUGGAAUUUCUGGUUGAACUCCAUGGAAAAGUUCCAUUGCAUAUUUUUAGAAGAUUGCUGGACAAAAAAUAUCUAUCGAAUACUGUAGAAUUAUGCCGGGGCCCGUGGCGUAGUUGGUCACACGUUCGCUUCAUAUGCGGAUGGUCAUGGGUUUGAUUCCCAGCCCCGGCACUUGCAAUUUUUCGUCAGUUGCUCUUCCCUCGAGAGUGGCUGACACUGACCCUCUUCUGAGCCCCAUGGCUCAAACGGACCCGGAUACCUGGACAUCGGCGAACUGCUACUCAUAAUGGACCCCCAAUCGGACUGGAAAGGAACAACGGCCAUCCAUCAUCAUCCUUAUGCUCAUCAUUCUACUAGGUAUAAAGUAGAAAAAGUGAAAGCAGCAGAAAGGCAACCAGUUCGAUAAAGUAGAAUAGAAUCUAGGCGCUGUACAAAAUGUAAGUGCAGCUGUCAAUUGAAAUUGCUCACGUAGUGCCCCAGUGGACAAUAGAGCUGUAAAUUAGGUUAAGUGGUUAAGAAUAAAAAAAAAAUACUGUAGAAUAUAAUUUUACUAUUUUUUUUUGAGAAAUAUGCUGAUGGAAUGCGGAAUGUCGAAUUUACAUAUUCAUAGAUAUGUAAAUUUGUAAAUCCUCUCUUUUGUCUGGAUUGAAUCGGAAAUAUAUCAAAGCAGAUAUGUCAUCCAGCUGCUUUCCCAUUUCCAGGAUAACUGCCUCGAAAUAAUCAUAACAUAUCCCUAAUGGAGAAAUAUAAUUCCCAUCCAACAUUCGAAAAUCUACUUCUGAUCCAUGAUACGAUAUGUUCGUGGAAACAAAGAGCCCUCCACCCGGGGACAACAGGAAUAAAUUAUAAUCAAACAGUCGAACCCCAGCUGAAGCUCGUUACGAGUUGACAGGCCGCAACAACACACAAGAAAUACAUGGCGCUUUUGCAUUAUUGGCGUAGGACUAGCUAUCAUUCCGUUCCAAUUGAAGGUGAUAAAUUUGAUCGAUGACGGCUGGAUUGGACUGGGUUGGAUUGGAGUACCUAUCGCACCGGCGUUCUUCGUUGCCGCAGCAACUGCGGUGGGCGCGAUUACCCUGCUGAUCGCUUCCUAAUCGCGACGGGAGGGAGAGGACGCCGAAAUUUAUGCAACCCCCCCAUAACCCCACGCGAGCUUAUUGGCGCCCAACGAUACCUAUGGAGCCGUUCCCAUAGAUUGAGAGGGUGGGGGAGAUCUUUGAUUUAUUGGAUGUCAUUUUUUAUGCAUCGUUUGAACGGGAUGCCUCCGCUCCAGAUUUCCGACCAAAACCGGGAACGAAAGAAAAACAGUUUGUUUAAGUCAUUUGGCCGGGGCAGGUCGUAAAAUUGUGCUGAGCGGGGGUGCCCGAUACGACAAGGGAUGGUGUGGCCAGGUGAGGAGGAGAUUUAUUAACCACGGCGGCGAAUGGGGGGAGUGCACUUCAGGUGGCUUUAAUGGGUUCAUUAGAGGCGGCCAUUUCGGCCAUUUCGAAGCGAUACUUUACGAGAGGAUGGAUAAUUUAAGGCGGAGAGAUGGACAAGAAGUUUUUCGGUGGUCAUUACGGUAUCUACGGGAGUUGGGAAAUAAACGGCGACGUAAAUGGUCCAAAGUGAAGCGCUGCUGGUUUGAGUGUUGCUCGAAGGGGUCAGCAGCGAGAUUGGGGAAAGUUUGUUUUACGAUGAAAGUUAUCGGUCGUCGCCGGAAAACCUUAUGCAAAUGAGAAUGACCUUUCAGGAAUGAUGGAUCGUAAAAGUGUUUUGGUGCACUUCGGAGGAGAAAAUCGCUCCAUAAGUGAUACUUGAGUCAUUUGGGAAAGAAUUUAGGGCAAUUGAGAAUCGAUUACACCGUUCAACACUAGUUCGCGGUAUGAGAUGAGAAAAGAAGGGGUUUGAGACCCUAGAAAUAUCAUAAUGGAAGGAUUUUUGAAAAAUAUUGGAAUGUGACUUCACAGUUUAUGACCGAAGUUUGCAUGGAGAUGUUGGGGUGUUAAAUUGAUAUGGGGUCACUUCCCAAGUAACAUAACUAGCUGAGUUACAGUUUCUUAAGCUAAAGUUUGCUUAAAAGUGGUUUAUUCCAGUCUUGUACAGCAAAAAUGUUUGUUGGGUUAUAUAUCGCGUGCAUAAAAAAAUCGUGUUUUCACCCUUUCCUUCCCACGACUUUGAACGACGAUAUCUAUGCCAAAAAAGCGUUUCCGAAAAAAGUCAUAGAACAAAAGUUAUUGCAAAUUGGCUAAAUUUUUCGAAAUCAAUGAAAAAAAUUUUGGUUGUAUACCAAUAGGUUUUUGAUUGUUUAUCAAUAGUUCAACUAUUGAAACAAGUAGUCAGUAGUUGGGUUAACCUUAUGAGGUUAUAACCAUAUUUUAAAAAUUAUUGCAUCAUAUUUAUCUAAUUUCGUUUGUCCGGAGUUCGUCGAAAAUCGAUGGUGCUCUAGAGCAACCAUGGGAAGUAGAGGGUUAAACCCCCUCCCUCCGUGGACAAGCGUGGAACUUUUACUAACACCUACCCCCCUACCCCCUGCACAUUACGUGGACUUCUAAAAAAUAUUUCGAUUUUCUUUCAAAAAUUUGAUGUAAAUUCCUGAUUUAAUAUGUAACAAAUAUUCCAAUGCUUGCGUAUAGCAAAUUCAUACCAUGGCUAAGAGACGAAUGACCUUCGGGUUAAAGUCUCUCGAUAACAACAAUAACAGAACAUAUUAGCAUUGGUUUUCAUAGCUCUGAAUGUUCAAUCCAAGGUUGUCUCAUAUUUUUAGAUGGCUAUAAUGCUUUGGUAUUUCAAAAACUAUCAAAUACACUCAAACCUCUAUUUAGGUAGGAUCCAUUUAGGUAAAAUCUAUUUAGGUCCCUCCAUUUAGGUAGCGUUACCUAAAUGGAAUUUGAUUGUGUUCAGAUCAGUUGUAGUAGUUAAGAUUAGGUAUAAGGUUCGCUUACGGGAAAGAAGUAGUGAGUGAUGUUAAGGGGGUAUGGGGGGAGGGGAGGGGGCUUGCAAUGUUGAGAUAUACCCCCUAAACAACCCCCCCCCCCCAUCCUUCCAUUAUUCUAUUGAUAUCAGCUCUAGCAUUGAUGACGUCAAAUCCGACAUCAACCUAUCAUUCACCUGUUUUUAUUUUGGCCACCAAACCCAACAUUGACCCAACAGUUGUUCGAUGUUGGUCCAACAAUGACCCGACUUUGGCCCGACAUUCAAUAAUUUUUCAGUCCGGCGGAAUUUUUCAGGGUUUUUUUUCGUGUUUCGUGCCCAGCUAGUCAUUUGAAUGACAAUUCUGAUCCCUCCAAAACCCCAGAAAACGCCCCUGAAGCUCCUCCCCUCCUGAAACUCCUUGAAAGCCAUCUGAAACUCCGCAUGAACUCCUUUAAAUCUCUUAGUAACUCUCCCUUCUUAUACUUUUUGCAACCUUGAACUCCAUUUAGGAAAUAAACUGAAUCCAUUUAGGUAAUGAAUCCAUUUAGGUAAAAAUUCUAUUUAGGCAGUCCCGACUCGGGACCUAAAUGGAGGUUUUGGUGUAUUCUAUUUAUUAGAUCAUCAUUGGUGAACAACAAGAAUUACAGCAGCAUUUCGAAAAUGCAUGGUGUAGUUUCAAUAUUCAAACAUAAUCAGAGGUGAUGAUUAACCUGGGCUUGUUAGGGGAAUAUCUGUAAGUAAAAAGAAAAUCGCGUUAAGUACUGUUCCUUUGAAUUCCACUAAGAAUUUGCAUCCUUUGAUAGAUACGUAUUUCGACCUCAACUGGUCGGCGUUAAGUCAGAGGGGACCAAGUAACAAAAUUGACGAAAAUUAGAUGUUUAGGGCAUUUGAUUGAGAAUUUCUUAAGCUGCUUGGAACUUUCAUCCAAUUUUCUUAAUGUUACAGUCAACAAGAGUUAUAGCACAAUUUUCUUUUGAUUGAACUGCAAAAAUCGAUAAUAGUGUGCAAUCAGAGUGGACCAUAUGCUUGAUGUCAAGAGAGUAGAAAAAAUGUGUGUUGGUUAAAAUCCAAUAAAUAAAAUAGUUUAUCAUCAAAAUGUGAUACGUUUCUGAAUCGUAAAACUCCCUAACGCAUAUUCUGAUGAUUGUUGAUCAAGAAAGCACGUGAAAUUUCAUUUUUAUUAUGGUCAAUAUCGUAUUUUACAGAUCAUCGCGUUGAAGUAUAUUGGGGCAUUUCGCGUGCAGACAGAGUGGGCCAUGUGUCUCUAAGGAAAAUAGUUGAAAUAACCUUAUUCUUCGUAAUCCUUUCCAAAUCAAAAUAUGUUUGUUUAUUAGCUGUUGGGCAUCAUAUUGAAAUGUAUUAAUACCCGUUUCAUGAAGAAAUUGAUUUUACCGAUUAUUUAAGAAUUGUGUACUUGGUCCACUCUGUCUGAACGAAUUUUUGAGUAAUGCCAGUCCUCUGAAUAAAUGAUUAUGAACUGUGUAACAACAAUAUUGCAAAAAACGUACCGAACUAUGAAAAUACAUUCAAAAGUAGUUAGCUAUUAAAUGUUCAAGCUAAGAAUUCUUAGAAAGCUCAUUUAUUGACUAUCCUUCAUGUGAUAUUGAACUGUUGUACUUGGUCCACUCUGACUGAACAUAAAAAUUGAAAAUGGUAAUCAACAGUGCAAUAACAGAAAUAUCAAAUUUCAAACUACCUGCUCAUAUUAUACACUACUCCUUUUAACUGUUGUACUACUUGUGCAUUAUUUUUCCAUCAAAUAGGGUAUCGGGAUGCUUCGUUGGCAUAGUCCUCUCGUUCGGCCUAUCUCAACGUAAACCAAAAACUCAAACAAACACGCAUAACUGGAUAUCGGAAAAGCUUUGCGCCAAACAACUGUAACUUUUCGUUUCAAUUUUAGCACUUUGGAACAUUAAAAUUGAAUGAAAAUGUCACUUUAUUUAGCUUUUGUAGACGCCAUGAUUCUUCGGCUUAGUGGGUAGUCUAUACACAUGAUCAUAAAUGGCAUGAUUCUGGAACAUUUCAAAAUGAUUUUUCAAUUACUGAACAUUUGAUGCGACGAUCAAAGACGCUAUUUUGAACUUAUGUAUUGGAUUCCAACCAAUAAUAACUAUUUUAACCAAUUGAAUGUGGGCCGAAUAUUGAGGACAAUUUUUUUCACCAUGUACCCAAAUCUUGGCCCAUCCGUAAAGCGACGUCAAAAACACCGAUGAAAAAACGUCAACAACAUUUCUUGCGUAAGAACCAGAAAGAACGAACAGGAAGAAAGAUUUUGUGUGCGGUGACUGUAAAAAUAUAACACAAUAAUGGGGUUGCGUUGUUUUCGUUACUAAAUUAAGAAAGAACUUUAGUUUAUGUGCAAUAUUUAUAGUUUUUUGAAAAUUUGGCUCCGAAAAUGUAAUUUAAAAGUAAGAUUGGUGAUCAAACAGAGAUAAUAUUUCGGCAAAAAUAUUGAAAAAAUGAGAUAAUUAGUGGUUCUAGUGCAGGGAAAGCAAUAGGCCAACGUUGUAUCCACUAAUAGGCCAAUUUUUGUACCGUAGACCAACGUUGCAUACCAUCGCAUCGAAUCUUUUCAACUUAUUUAAGUAAAUUCUUGAAUAUUUACGUUAGUUUACUUCCAAUUAGUGAAACAUGCAUUGCCUAGACCGAUUGUGCGAUAUUUGCCAGAAAACCAUUCGCCAGAAUGCCAUUGGCCAGAAAGACAUUUGCCAGAAAAUACCAUUUCCCAGAAAACCGUUUGCCAGAAAGAACCAUUUCCCAGAAAACCAUUUGCCAGAAUGUACCAUUCCCCAGAAAGUACCAUUUCCCAGAAAUUUUCCAUAGUUCUCAAUCCAGAAGUGUUCCCAAUCUAAUGAUAAUUUAAAAAAUUCUUAUUGAAAAAUAAAUCGUGUUUUUUAUUUGUUUGGGAUCGAUUAGCCCACAAUAACAAUUGUAAAAAUGUAAAAUUUUUUUUUUUUUCAAAUUUAUUAUAUGCGAAAGUUAAAUAAAUUACCGGAACUGAUGUAAGAGCAAACAAGAAA